AAUCAAUAAUCAAAAUAAACAAUUGCAUUAAAUCACUUAACCUCAGAAUCCAUAAUGAAAUUACAGCAGAAUAGCCCUAGGAGUUUAGAAACACAUGAUGAAAGAGUGAAAGCAGUGGUGGAUGAAUGGAUGAAUGAAUGGUGUCCUUUGUGUCUCCCUUGGGUCUCUUUAUAUAGGCUUGAUUGGGCUUGGACUUUGAAUAUUCAGUUGAUAGAAUCUUUUAUCUUAUAUCUUCCAAAUAACUAAAAGAUUUAGAUAAUUAUAACAUUAUUUGGAAGAUAUUUUCUGUUGAUAUUUCCCAAUUAAAUUAAUUCAACAACUGAAUUUUAUCUUUUAGUUUUUCUGACUUUCCAUAAUUGCAGAUCAACUCUUGAUAAUUCCAAUAUUUACACUUCAGCCACUUUUUAAUUCCUGAAAUUGCAAGAAAGCCCCCAGUUGACCAGACCUUUGACCAGCGAAGACCUGUUUGACCAGCUUUGACUCCUGUAGACGUGGCCAAUGAAAGGCAGCCACGUGUCCGCCCCUUCCCACCCAAAUUAGGGUUUCAGAUUAGGGGUAAAGCGAUUUGGGGCUCCAUUCUAUCUUUCCCUGCGCCGCACAAACGGAAGAGAGGUUUCGCUCUCUGAUCUUUACUAUGCAGGUCCGGUGAUGGAGGCAUGGAGGAGAAGCUUGCGACGGCGUCUUUGUGUUGGGAUUGAUCUAGGUGAUUUGGGGUUUUGGGUUGGUCUUUCUGAGUGCAGGUUCGAAGGAGAAGAUUGCGUCGUCCCUGUGACGGUGAUGAUGGCGGCAAUGGUGGUUUGAACAUCGCAAAUCGCAAGGCUUCUGUCGCGAUUCUUGGUUAAGCGAGGAAGAUGGUUCGAGUCUGAGAUCUGUUUGCAGGAGCAUGUUGAUGGUGAUGUCUUCACGGCGGCUUGCUGGAGACGAGAGAACGUGGUGGUGACGAUGGUGGUUAUGGAGGAAGCAAGGUGCGUAGGGAAAAUGGUGAUGGCCGUCGUUGAUGGAGGAUCUGUGGAAGAAGGUGGCUCAAUGGCGAUGCAAGACUGAUGUUUCUAUGGUGGUAUUGGUGAUGGUUUGAUGAUGGACGGCGCAUAAGUCUUUUGCGAGGAGUAUGGUGGCUGGUUCUGCAACGGUUUCUGCGGUGUUGGUGACUGCGAGGAAGAAGAGCGAGGGAGAUGAUACGAAUCGCAGGUUUGUGGCGGCGAUUUCUGGGUUUUCUUGGUACAGGUCCGGUGGCUUGCUGAGGAGAUGGUGCGUCAUUUACGGUGGCCGACGGCUAGGUCGAAGGUGGCGGCUAGGGUUUACGAAAUUAGGGUUUCUGGAGAAGGUGGUGAUGACGUGGCAAGUGGGCUGAGGUGGCAUGUGCUGGUUGGUGCAUCUGGUGUGCAGAGGAUUUGGACAUGUGGCGUGAUCUGGUGAAAUCUAGGGUAGGAGGAGUGUGUAUAGGAAAUUAGGGGUUACGGAUAUAAAAGGCUUAGUGUUUUGGGCUUGGUUGUUGGCCUGGUUUAGAAGAGAGGUGCAUGUAGGGAAAUCUGGGGGUGCAAG
rnacentral:lncRNA from 1 species